GCCACGGUAGCUCAGGUGGUAGAGCAGGGGACUGAAAAUCNNAAAAUCCCCGUGUCGGCAGUUCAACUCUGUCCCGUGGCACCA
rnacentral:tRNA from 1 species